rnacentral:rRNA from 1 species
AGAGUUUGAUCCUGGCUCAGGACGAACGCUGGCGGCGUGCUUAACACAUGCAAGUCGAACGAGACGAUUGAAAGCUUGCUUUUGAAAGUCGAGUGGCAAACGGGUGAGUAACGCGUAGACAACCUGCCGUAAAGAUGGGGACAACAGUCCGAAAGGACUGCUAAUACCGAAUGUUGUAAAUCUUCCACAUGGAAGACUUACUAAAGGUGGCCUCUACUUGUAAGCUAUCGCUUUACGAUGGGUCUGCGUCUGAUUAGCUGGUUGGUGGGGUAACGGCCUACCAAGCCGACGAUCAGUAGCCGGCCUGAGAGGGUGACCGGCCACAUUGGGACUGAGACACGGCCCAAACUCCUACGGGAGGCAGCAGUGGGGAAUAUUGCACAAUGGGGGAAACCCUGAUGCAGCGACGCCGCGUGAGCGAUGAAGUAUUUCGGUAUGUAAAGCUCUAUCAGCAGGGAAGAAAAUGACGGUACCUGACUAAGAAGCACCGGCUAAAUACGUGCCAGCAGCCGCGGUAAUACGUAUGGUGCAAGCGUUAUCCGGAUUUACUGGGUGUAAAGGGAGCGUAGACGGAGUGGCAAGUCUGAUGUGAAAACCCGGGGCUCAACCCCGGGACUGCAUUGGAAACUGUCAAUCUAGAGUACCGGAGAGGUAAGCGGAAUUCCUAGUGUAGCGGUGAAAUGCGUAGAUAUUAGGAGGAACACCAGUGGCGAAGGCGGCUUACUGGACGGUAACUGACGUUGAGGCUCGAAAGCGUGGGGAGCAAACAGGAUUAGAUACCCUGGUAGUCCACGCCGUAAACGAUGACUACUAGGUGUCGGGCAGCAAAGCUGUUCGGUGCCGCAGCAAACGCAAUAAGUAGUCCACCUGGGGAGUACGUUCGCAAGAAUGAAACUCAAAGGAAUUGACGGGGACCCGCACAAGCGGUGGAGCAUGUGGUUUAAUUCGAAGCAACGCGAAGAACCUUACCUGCUCUUGACAUCUCCCUGACCGGCAAGUAAUGUUGCCUUUCCUUCGGGACAGGGAUGACAGGUGGUGCAUGGUUGUCGUCAGCUCGUGUCGUGAGAUGUUGGGUAAAGUCCCGCAACGAGCGCAACCCCUAUCUUUAGUAGCCAGCGGUUUGGCCGGGCACUCUAGAGAGACUGCCAGGGAUAACCUGGAGGAAGGUGGGGAUGACGUCAAAUCAUCAUGCCCCUUAUGAGCAGGGCUACACACGUGCUGCAAUGGCGUAAACAAAGGGAGGCAGAACCGCGAGGUCGAGCAAAUCCCAAAAAUAACGUCUCAGUUCGGAUUGUAGUCUGCAACUCGACUACAUGAAGCUGGAAUCGCUAGUAAUCGCGAAUCAGAAUGUCGCGGUGAAUACGUUCCCGGGUCUUGUACACACCGCCCGUCACACCAUGGGAGUCAGUAACGCCCGAAGUCAGUGACCCAACCGUAAGGAGGGAGCUGCCGAAGGUGGGACCGAUAACUGGGGUGAAGUCGUAACAAGGUA